AUUGAACGCUGGCGGCAGGCCUAACACAUGCAAGUCGAACGGCAGCACAGAAGAGCUUGCUCUUUGGGUGGCGAGUGGCGGACGGGUGAGUAAUGUCUGGGAAACUGCCCGAUGGAGGGGGAUAACUACUGGAAACGGUAGCUAAUACCGCAUAACGUCGCAAGACCAAAGUGGGGGACCUUCGGGCCUCACACCAUCGGAUGUGCCCAGAUGGGAUUAGCUAGUAGGUGGGGUAAUGGCUCACCUAGGCGACGAUCCCUAGCUGGUCUGAGAGGAUGACCAGCCACACUGGAACUGAGACACGGUCCAGACUCCUACGGGAGGCAGCAGUGGGGAAUAUUGCACAAUGGGCGCAAGCCUGAUGCAGCCAUGCCGCGUGUAUGAAGAAGGCCUUCGGGUUGUAAAGUACUUUCAGCGGGGAGGAAGGCGGUGAGGUUAAUAACUUCACCGAUUGACGUUACCCGCAGAAGAAGCACCGGCUAACUCCGUGCCAGCCGCCGCCGUAA
rnacentral:rRNA from 1 species